rnacentral:sRNA from 12 species
CCUUUGGCGUGCACUAGAACUUGUGAGUAGCUGCUGAACUUUCAGAGCAAAAACAUGCACGAUGAAUAAGGAA